rnacentral:lncRNA from 1 species
AGCUCAUUUGUGGUUGUAUUCUCACGCUACAGACAAUAUUUUUGCUCAAUAUUUGAUCUGGGUUCUCUUCCCAGUUUCUUUAAUAUUUUUCUCUGUUGGCUUCACACAUCUCGUAUCACCUCAUGCUAUUGGUAGGUACAUCGCUGUUCAAUCUCAGUUUAAUCUAUAUAGCUGGUCCUCAUUCAAGCAGAGAAGGGAGUCUGCAGACCAACUGGCUUUUGUGACUCAUCGUAUAACAUAAUAUUUAAUAUAGGUUCUGGUAUACCUGAAAUGAAGACUAUUUUACGUGGUACAAUUCUUAAACGUUAUCUUUCAAUACCAACGUUGAUUGCCAAAGUGGUGCGUACAUUAUUACUUUGCUUGUUUUCGACCCUCUCUGACGAUCUCUUGAGGGACUCAGGUCAAGAUGAUUUAUUUUGUCAAAGAUAAUGAGAAGAAAGUAAAUCAUUAUUCGCUAAUAAUGACAUGCAAUGGCAAAUGAAACCUGAAGGCUAAAAAAACUGCCGGAUUUUGUUUCAGAUGCCCAAUCUCCUUCGCGCUCAUGAUUUCGUGUUUUCUUUAUGAAUUAUUAAUGAGAAUUACAAGCACAAUUGAAAUUGAUAGGCGACAGAGAAUUGACUGAUAUAUGUUCAGCAGGAUACAGUUUUGAAUGUAUAGUACAUGUUGUUUUUCAGGUUGGUUUGACUGCUUCUCUUGGCAGUGGAAUCCCAAUAGGAAAAGAGG